CAGUCGCCACGGUAAAACGAAGGGUGCAAGCGUCACUCGGAAUUACUGGGCGUAAAGCGUGCGUAGGUGGUGGUUUAAGUCCGUUGUGAAAGCCCUGGGCUCAACCUGGGAAUUGCAGUGGAUACUGGGUCACUAGAGUGUGGUAGAGGAUAGUGGAAUUUCCGGUGUAGCAGUGAAAUGCGUAGAGAUCGGAAGGAACAUCUGUGGCGAAGGCGACUAUCUGGGCCAACACUGACACUGAGGCACGAAAGCGUGGGGAGCAAACAGGAUUAGAUACCCGCGUAGUCCCUGUCUCUUAUAC
rnacentral:rRNA from 1 species